GGGAACAACGACAGGCAUUCAACUCAGAUUUACUGUAAAACUUGAACAGAUUGGGAAUUACGGAGUUCCUUAAACUGUCUCUGAAAAUAAAUAUUUCUGAUGUAUCUGGCAAGUUGAAGGGGAAAAAGCAACAAUCCCCGAACUCAUUAAACUAACACAUCUUAAUUUGGAGUGGCCACACUUCAAAGUGCUCAAUAGCCACAUGGGGGUAAAGCUAUGGUGUCAGUCAGCUUGGGUUUAAUCUGUGCUUGGAGAGCCUGAAGCCACCUGGAAAGAUUGAGCAGCUGAAUCAAAUCUCCUGGUUGGAGUUACAAUAUGGACUGAAUUUAUACUGAUGCCAUGACAUAAAAUGAAAAGAUCUCUUGAAAGAUAAAUUCCUGAUAUCUGCCUGCCAUUCUCAUAGAAGCAGAAUUCAGGGGGAAAGUCCGCGUUUUGCCUCAGAAGGGCAACCAUUUCCUAUUGUCUGGAGGCUCGCGAGAAGUGCAAAGGACAGCCACUACCACGAGCUCAGGAAAAUCGAGGUGGACACCAGGCCUCGGCUUCU